AUCAGGAAGGAUGCUGGAGGGUUGGGUUUCCACUAGUUACCACAGCCACAGAGUCAAAAUGGACUAUAACGUAAAAAAAAACGUUUUUCGGGGGCUAAAUUUAAGGUGAGGCAUAAAGUUAGCAGUGUGGUUAGAGUUAGGUUUAAAAUCAGAUUGUACGAAUAACAAUGGUAGAAAUGGGCGGGGUGUAGCUAUAAUUAAGACUUUGUGGUUGUGGUAACUAGUUACGACCAGAGGUUUAAUGUACAUUCAAAUAUACUCCAUUCUCUACUAUCUCUGGUACAGUUUAUCUGUGACAAAAUGUCGAUGACAACUAUGUAGAAGGUUACUCUGAUUUUCUGCUCUGUCCUCUGUGUUUCGUUUUUCCUUCCCUAAAUAAUUUUCCCGAGAGGGAAGAAUGAUGUAGGGCAGCCCGAGGGUAAGGCAGCUUAUCACUGAUCCGUCCUGAUGUUGAUGUGCAGUUCGGCUUUGAUGCUUGGAAGAUAAUUCCAUAUUUUGCGUAUCGUUCUAGCCAUCUACAAACCUGUCAGCAAAGCUAAAUAAUGUAUUAUACAUACAGUAACGGCAUGUAACUAUUGAAUUCAGCAUUUCAUAUAAGUCUAUGCAUUUUGCCAAUAGCCUAGAACUGUAAGUUAUUAUAGCCUACACUUUUGUCUUCAUCAUCAGGUUGUAUGCAUCUAUUCAGUCUAGGAGGUUAUCCUCUGUGCUGUGUUCUGCUCCUCGUCGCCCUUGCCAGUUUUAUGAACUCCCACACCAUUCAAAUAAAUUGGUCCUGGGUAUUAUCCUCCCAUGAUGCAACGCCUACAGAUGCCAGAGGAGGGCCUCGGACAGUGGAUGGAGGGGACUCAUAUGACUCUGGGCCCCACAGCCCUGGCUAAAGUCAAAGGCAUGGGCACACUUCAGAUCCGAGGAGCCACUAAAUCCAAUCGGAUCAGCCAGGCCAUUCCCAUCUACGGAUUUGGAAUCCUACUCUACAUCCUCUUCAUCAUAUUCUAGAUAAGCUGCACAAUGUCCACCCUAGACUGGCUCAGUCAAAUGGAUAGACAAACUAUUUAGAGGCAGGAAUGUAGAAGAUGUAGACUAUUACAGUUUUUAACAGCAUCCAUGUAAUACCUAUACUGGCUAGGAGUCCAGUGCAUCCAUUACAUUACAAGGUGUGCAUACCAUAAAUGCAUUGUUGUAUUCACAGAUGACAACUAGGCCUAAAGGAAAAAGUACUAAACUGGUAUGCUGAUUUCCUACAAUGACAUUUCAAAUUUGGCAGAAGAGGAGGAGUAAGUAGACAGCAUCACAUCAUUAAUAGCUAGGCCAUUGUGAAUGACACAAUGAUAUAUAUGAUGUGCCUUUUAUCUCAUAGCGCAGUUGAUAAAGAGUCCCAUGCACCUGACCUCCCUAACACACACCAUUUAGGUCCUACAUUCCGUGAUGAUUCACCCUGAUGAAAGACUAAUGCAGGAUAUAGCACACCCUGCGAGGAGAAAUACCAUCUGGCAAAUGAGCUCCUCUCUAACAGUCACCUCUUUCAUGACUUUGAGGGCUUAUUUUCAAUCACUUCCUCAUUGUUUUGAUCGUUCCAUUUGUCAGGGCCCCUGCAGAAUGUAUCAGUAGCUCCAAUUUAAGCAACUCCAUGAUAAGGUAGAUUAGGAUCCUGUCCAACUCGCAGGGAGCUUUGUUCCCUGCCUUUGUUAGACCUGGAUUAGCAAUCAGAAGUAAUGUUGUUUCAGCCCAGCAGUGUCUAAUACCAAUUACUGCAUGUAUUUUGGAUCAGCACUAAGAGGUUUAGCUCCAUUCAUCAAAUGAAUGCUAAGGGGGUAGGGGUGGGAGACAAUGUGACAGGGACAAGCAUAUAAAUCUAUUCAUGUCCUAUGUAUCAAUGCCACUCUCACCUUCCGUAAUUAAGAAACAUUGAGUCACAAUGUUGAUUCGUUUCCAUUCCUGAGUAUUGAACGUGUAGUUCUGAACGUGCAGAGUGAAUGUUGAAUCUCAAGGCUUUCUGCAACAUUGUAAAGCAACUCUAGAUACAGUGUGUGUUCGUCCAUGCAUGAGUUUGCUCUUUACAUCCCUGACUGCCAUGUUUCCCUCCCAGCAGAUGAUGAGCUGGCCCAGCUUCAGGAGAAGCUGCUGGAGACAGAGGGUGAAGUAGAGGAUCGUCUCCAGAAGGAGUUGCGUUCCCAUGCAAAACUAGACAGAUAGCUAACAACUAAGUCUUCAAUAAAACUCCCAAGGCGUGACUUUUCUUGAAUUAAUAUAUUGAAAACGUUUAUGUUGUGAAA